GUCCCUUCGGGGAUAUUUGAUAAGAUUGGAACGAUACAGAAAAGGUUAUCAUAACCCACACAAAGGAUAAAAAAAUCUGAUUUUAGUUUUUCUCUUAUUCA
rnacentral:snRNA from 2 species